rnacentral:pre_miRNA from 1 species
UUAACUCAUAUUUGUAUGCAGUUGGAACAGCGCCCCUAGCGGCAAACGUAAGUAAACGUUCCAACUCCAUACAAAUUUGAGUUA